rnacentral:tRNA from 1 species
AUUAAUAUAGUUUAAAAUUAAAAUAAUAAUUUUGUAAAUUAUAGAUAAGAGUUUUCUUUUUUAAU